CUUUAACCACGUAAGCUGAAUGGGUACCUUUCCUCAUGUGGCCCAAUGUGCAAUAGCUGUGAAGAGCACCCUCCUUGUUAUGUAUGCAGCCUGCUGAUUGUAUGGUUUGCCUUACGGGAACCCUGGAGACAGCC